CGGCCCGCCAGAGGACCCCUAAACUCUGUUUCUAUAUGUAACUUCUGAGUAAAACCAUAAAUAAAUCAAAACUUUCAACAACGGAUCUCUUGGUUCUGGCAUCGAUGAAGAACGCAGCAAAAUGCGAUAAGUAAUGUGAAUUGCAGAAUUCAGUGAAUCAUCGAAUCUUUGAACGCACAUUGCGCCCGCCAGUAUUCUGGCGGGCAUGCCUGUUCGAGCGUCAUUUCAACCCUCAAGCACAGCUUGGUGUUGGGACUCGCGUUAAUUCGCGUUCCUCAAAUUGAUUGGCGGUCACGUCGAGCUUCCAUAGCGUAGUAGUAAAACCCUCGUUACUGGUAAUCGUCGCGGCCACGCCGUUAAACCCCAACUUCUGAAUGUUGACCUCGGAUCAGGUAGGAAUACCCGCUGAACUUAAGCAUAUCAAU
rnacentral:rRNA from 1 species